UGCCCAGCAACUCCUAUCCCUACCUCCUUGCGGUACCGGCCGGAAACUAUGAGUAACCUUAGGGAAGAUCGGGUAACCAACUUUGGUCGUAGGCUGACAGGGAAGG
rfam:Aedes albopictus isolate Foshan contig139813, whole genome shotgun sequence.